rnacentral:rRNA from 1 species
GGGUUGUGAGGUUAAGCGACUAAGCGUACACGGUGGAUGCCCUGGCAGUCAGAGGCGAUGAAGGGCGUGCUAAUCUGCGAUAAGCGCCGGUAAGGUGAUAUGAACCGUUAUAACCGGCGAUACCCGAAUGGGGAAACCCAGUGUGAUUCGUCACACUAUCAUUAACUGAAUCCAUAGGUUAAUGAGGCGAACCGGGGGAACUGAAACAUCUAAGUACCCCGAGGAAAAGAAAUCAACCGAGAUUCCCCCAGUAGCGGCGAGCGAACGGGGAGGAGCCCAGAGCCUGAAUCAGCAUGUGUGUUAGUGGAAGCGUCUGGAAAGGCGCGCGAUACAGGGUGACAGCCCCGUACACAAAAGCGCAUGUGCUGUGAGCUCGAUGAGUAGGGCGGGACACGUGGUAUCCUGUCUGAAUAUGGGGGGACCAUCCUCCAAGGCUAAAUACUCCUGACUGACCGAUAGUGAACCAGUACCGUGAGGGAAAGGCGAAAAGAACCCCGGCGAGGGGAGUGAAAAAGAACCUGAAACCGUGUACGUACAAGCAGUGGGAGCACAGGUUUACCUGUGUGACUGCGUACCUUUUGUAUAAUGGGUCAGCGACUUAUAUUCUGUAGCAAGGUUAACCGAAUAGGGGAGCCGGAGGGAAACCGAGUCUUAAUUGGGCGUUAAGUUGCAGGGUAUAGACCCGAAACCCGGUGAUCUAGCCAUGGGCAGGUUGAAGGUUGGGUAACACUAACUGGAGGACCGAACCGACUAAUGUUGAAAAAUUAGCGGAUGACCUGUGGCUGGGGGUGAAAGGCCAAUCAAACCGGGAGAUAGCUGGUUCUCCCCGAAAGCUAUUUAGGUAGCGCCUCGUGAAUUCAUCUCCGGGGGUAGAGCACUGUUUCGGCUAGGGGGCCAUCCCGGCUUACCAACCCGAUGCAAACUGCGAAUACCGGAGAAUGUUAUCACGGGAGACACACGGCGGGUGCUAACGUCCGUCGUGAAGAGGGAAACAACCCAGACCGCCAGCUAAGGUCCCAAAGUCAUGGUUAAGUGGGAAACGAUGUGGGAAGGCCCAGACAGCCAGGAUGUUGGCUUAGAAGCAGCCAUCAUUUAAAGAAAGCGUAAUAGCUCACUGGUCGAGUCGGCCUGCGCGGAAGAUGUAACGGGGCUAAACCAUGCACCGAAGCUGCGGCAGCGAACGUAUCACUUAAAGCGAUUCAGCGGGUUACGAUUGACGGAGCGAAGCGACGUCAAAGCGUAUACAAAGUCGAGUCGGUUUAAGGAUACGUUCGUUGGGUAGGGGAGCGUUCUGUAAGCCUGUGAAGGUGGCCUGUGAGGGUUGCUGGAGGUAUCAGAAGUGCGAAUGCUGACAUAAGUAACGAUAAAGCGGGUGAAAAGCCCGCUCGCCGGAAGACCAAGGGUUCCUGUCCAACGUUAAUCGGGGCAGGGUGAGUCGACCCCUAAGGCGAGGCCGAAAGGCGUAGUCGAUGGGAAACGGGUUAAUAUUCCCGUACUUGGUGUUACUGCGAAGGGGGGACGGAGAAGGCUAUGUUGGCCGGGCGACGGUUGUCCCGGUUUAAGCGUGUAGGUGUGUGUUCCAGGUAAAUCCGGUUCACUUUAACACUGAGGCGUGACGACGAGGCACUACGGUGCUGAAGCAACAAAUGCCCUGCUUCCAGGAAAAGCCUCUAAGCAUCAGGUAACAUCAAAUCGUACCCCAAACCGACACAGGUGGUCAGGUAGAGAAUACCAAGGCGCUUGAGAGAACUCGGGUGAAGGAACUAGGCAAAAUGGUGCCGUAACUUCGGGAGAAGGCACGCUGACAC